rnacentral:rRNA from 1 species
CCUACGGGGGGCAGCAGUGGGGAAUAUUGCACAAUGGGGGAAACCCUGAUGCAGCGACGCCGCGUGAGUGAAGAAGUAUCUCGGUACGUAAAGCUCUAUCAGCAGGGAAGAAAAUGACGGUACCUGACUACGAAGCCCCGGCUAACUACGUGCCAGCAGCCGCGGUAAUACGUAGGGGGCAAGCGUUAUCCGGAUUUACUGGGUGUAAGGGGUGUGUAGGUGGGUUGAUAAGUUAGAUGUGUAAUACCCAGGGCUUAACUCGGGUGCUGCAUCUAAAACUGUUAGACUUGAGUACUGGAGAGGAGAGUGGAAUUCCUAGUGUAGCGGUGGAAUGCGUAGAUAUUAGGAGGAACAUCAGUGGCGAAGGCGACUAUCUGGACAGCAACUGACACUGAGGCACGAAAGCGUGGGGAGCAAACAGGAUUAGAUACCCUUGUAGUC